AUUAAAAGUACAUUUUAAGAAAACUUAUUUUUCCUACUUUUAUUAAAUUUUGUUGGGGCGACAAAAGAAGAUCUAAAUCUUCUUUAAAUCAAUUAGAAUACACUUCAUUUAUUUUGAUCCAUUUUAUAUGAUUAACGAAGUUAGCUACCCUAGGGAUAACAGGCUAAUUUU
rnacentral:rRNA from 1 species